rnacentral:rRNA from 1 species
UACGAAGGGGGCUAGCGUUGCUCGGAAUCACUGGGCGUAAAGGGUGCGUAGGCGGGUCUUUAAGUCAGGGGUGAAAUCCUGGAGCUCAACUCCAGAACUGCCUUUGAUACUGAGGAUCUUGAGUUCGGGAGAGGUGAGUGGAACUGCGAGUGUAGAGGUGAAAUUCGUAGAUAUUCGCAAGAACACCAGUGGCGAAGGCGGCUCACUGGCCCGAUACUGACGCUGAGGCACGAAGGCGUGGGGGAGCAAACAGG